AAUAAAGCUUUUCUAGAGGGGUUGAAUUGGUGCUUUCACCAAACUUUUAAGACGCCAAGAGGGCAAUCUUGACAUUGCACCUUUGUUGACGCUUCAAGUAGCUAGCAGAAAUAGAGACCGAUCACCUUUCCAGAGCUCAGAAAACAUUUUCUCUUUCUUUCUCUUCCAAAUCUCUGACUCCAGUCCCGUCGCAGUGUAUCACCUGAUGAAUGAAACCGUGGUAGUGUGUUAAGGAGUUGUGCAAAAAGCCAUGGCCUUUAAACCCUAGCAACAAAAAGCAUCCAAAUCGUUAGGGUUUAUUUCUUCCGUUGAUAUUCAAUAACUUUAAAAGGUUCUUCAAAGAUGUCGAAAUCCAAGAGAGAUCCAGUAGUGACGUUGUCAAAAAAAAAAGGAAUGGAUCAUAAAGAGAACAUAGUGACCAGCUUUGAGAACAUGAGGAAUCCCAAGUUUAAGCAGCUCGGAGAGCAACUCAAAUCCACUAGCAGGUGCUUAAUAAUGUUUCAUUUUAUUAAAUUUAUUGGAUAAUAUUUGAGUUAGUGGUGGCAUUGGGUUUGUGGGUUGAAUUGAUGCGAUUGUGUCAAAGAUAUCAACCCGUAUAACUAGAAUACAGGUAUGUGUGACCACUAUUUACUCAACGUCUCUACGGGCUGUAAUCAUUUUGUAAGUUAAGGUGAAAGUGGCUGAUCUUAUAAAAAACUUUUAUUAACGUUAUUUUAAAAUGGCUCUGAUUCAUAGGUUCAUACCUAUACGUACUAAAAAACUAGAUGAAAGAAAAGUUGAUACAAGUUGAUUGGAUGUUUAUGUGAUCAAUUUAACUUACAAUUGAAUAUGAAUUGCAAUAUGAAAAUUUGACUUUUUUGAUGUGAAUGAUCUUUUACAAUAAUAGUCUAGGUUUUCUUGUUAUUUGCUGAAUUGUUGAAUAAUAGUUAAAAGUGCCUACUUGGAUUGGUGAUAAUGAAGAAGAAGAGUUUGUAGGCGUUGGUGCUCGAUUUGGUCCUACUUUGGAAAAGUGAGGUGAAUGUCAUAUGGGAAAGGACAUUGCUUGUUUGUUUGUUUUAUAAUAAUAGUCUGUGUUUGUUUCUUUGUUUUCUUUUUUGUUGGGGUUGUAGAAUAUGGAGAGUUCAAAGAUUGAGCAUGCAAAGAGGGUGGAACAAUUGAGGAAAAUGGAGCUUAAGAGGGCUGAUUAUAUGAAGACUGAGAAAGCAAAAAAAAAGAGGUUGAGAAGUUGGAGUCUAUAAUGAUGGUUUCUUCGCAGGCGAUCGAGCCAACGUCGGAUGAAAUAGUCAAACUCCGAGAGGAAGAGCCGCAACUUGUUGAGCUUGUUAAAGGACUAAAGAAACGUCGGUCCUACAUGAGCUUGGUCUCUGCUUGGCUCACGGCUUUUCUGAUGGGAAGAUCACAGUUCAUACAAACAAGUCAGAUGGUCGGUGGGACACCACACGGAUCACCCAGGCUCAUCCAAUUUGAGUCACAUCGGUUUCAUGGGCUCCGUCAAUGGCUCCUUGGGCUCUGGUUGGAUCUGGUACUUUUGAACCUGUACAAAAGCAGGCUUUUGGUGGGUGUGAUAACACAGUUAAACUUUGGGUAAUGAAUAUCGAUUUCGUACAUUCAUAGUAAUUUGAUGUGCCCUUUGUUUGACGUUAGCUGCAGUUUGAGCCUCUAAACUGGGUUGUCAACUUUGAAGCUUUCUUAGCCAAGGCUCACAAUUAAUUAGAUUAGACAGAUGUAGCUUUGUUCAUUGAUUUAAUCUUGGAGAUUUUGGCACAGGUUUGAAUUAUGUUUCAGUCCUGCCAACUCCGCCGUAACGCGCGGGAAUAUCGGGUGAUAACGUAAAGAUUAUCGGGUGAUCCGUGGCAAGAUGAUUGGUAUUUUUUUCACUCAAUUUCUUGUCAAGCUUUGGAAUGCCUUCGGUCAUCAUUCUGACCCGUUUCUAAACCGUAUCGGGUUGUUUGUAUUAUAGGUUGUAUGUAGUGUUUGUAUUAUAGGUUGUAUGUAGUGCUUUUGUUGGAGAAUGCAGGGCCUGUUUUUAGAACCAAUGGAAGAUGACAAAAACGCUCUUUUUUUUGGAAAUGGUAUAUUCAUUUUUAUAGCCUAAAGUUGGCAUGGAUAAGUGUUGUAAGUUAUUACCUUUGAUACUGUGGAAAUAACAGUUCACACCAAUUGAGUUAAAAACAUGUGGUUACAAA